UACAGAGGGGGCAAGCGUUAUUCGGAAUUACUGGGCAUAAAGCGCACGUAGGCGGUCCGUUAAGUCAUGUGUGAAAUCCCCCGGCUCAACCGGGGAAUUGCGCCUGAUACUGGCGGGCUAGAGGUCGAUAGGGGUGAGCGGAACUCCCGGUGUAGUGGUGAAAUGCGUAGAUAUCGGGAGGAACACCAGUGGCGAAGGCGACUUCCUGGCCUGUUCUUGACGCUGAGGCGCGAAAGCUAGGGGAGCAAACGGG
rnacentral:rRNA from 1 species